ensembl:lncRNA
CUGAGCUAACUGCUGCCAAUCCUCCUCUUUUUGCUGAGGAAGACUGGCCCUGAGCUAACAUCUGUGCCCAUCUUCCUCUGCUUUAUAUGUGGGAUGCCUACCACAGCAUGGCAUGCCAAGCAGUGCCAUGUCUACACCUGGGAUCUGAACUGGUGAACCCAGGGCCGCCUGAGCGGAAAGUACCCACUUAACCGCUGUGCCACCAGGCCGGCCCCAAUAAUAUUUUUUUUAAUACUGGGAAAUUGUUUCCUCGAUUUUUUAUACUCUUCAUAAUAUAAUGCCACACCUUAAAUUUAAUCUUCAUUACUAAUAUUUUCUUAAAUCAACAAAACAACAAAUCAAUUCUUGCUUUGCAGCACUCGUCAAUUGCUGUGGUGUAAAUAGUCCUACCAUGGCCAAUUUCAAGCCGCCAACCUGACAUCACCCAAGAAGGAAUUGUGAAGAUGUGGAUGAUAGCAGAGAGCUUCAUGCUGAUGUUCCAGUUGUUGCUGCAUGGGCAGAGGGGACAUUGUGAAUGAAAGAAGCCAUUUGUUAUACUGUCCACGUCCAACCGACAGAAAAGAAGGCUCCCUUUGAAACGUUUGUGUCUGUUAUGGACUGCUGAGAAGUCGUACACAGGAUGGUGGUGACAGCGGCAUUUUCACAUGUAGGGGUAGUGAAGCAAUAUGACUGGCUGCUGGAAUACAGGAGGCAGAAUCCUCCCACAUCCUCCCUUGAAAACAUCUGCAAGUGUCGGAGAUCCCCAAGUUUUCUAGGCUUGAAUUAUGGACUAUAAUCUCGUCCUGCUUUCGUCGCUCCAUCGCCUCACAAAUUCUCUGAGCUGGAUUAGGCCGUUUCCUUGCAGUUGGAUUAUGUAUCCAUGAAGUGAAAAAAUCUCUCUCUCUGACGGGCAUGUUAAUAAGCAGUGAGACUCAGAAACACCAACAGAACACGGUGGACGAAAGAGAGACAGAAGGAUAAGAGAACAGAGAAAUCGGAUAACAAGCUCACAAAACAAAAACAAAAAAAAAACCCAAACCAAUAGCUGACUUUUUUUAAACGAAAUGUCGGCACAAUAAUAGAAUCACAAAAUCAUAAAAGAGAAAGUUGCGCUUCUAAGUUUACAGCUUCAGUCGAGUUUUCACAUCGUCUCAAAAAACCUAUACCACACCUGUGUAUACAGAUGGAGACCCAAACAUCAGUCCUGCUCUAUGAAGGUGUUCAGAGGCUUUUCUGAAAAUACAUGUGAAGACAUAUGAUAGAAUUGCCUAAAAUCGCUAUUUAAGGAGCAGCAGAAUCAACUUAUCAACAUGCAAAUAUAAGUAGAAAGCCCAACAAGUAAAGGAACCAUGACACCUUUUAACUCAGGAGGCAGAGGGUUACUACACAUUCCACAAAAACACAUUCUAAAACUUUCAACCCAAGUGAAUUUCAUCUUCAGUCCUCCGAGAUGAGGCCUCGGCAGUUUUAAACAGGGAAAAGAGCCAAGUGAGAGCUUAUGGGAAAUAAGGCCUUGAAAACCCCCUACCUAAAAAGACUCACGUUGUAGCACGGGACCAGGACACGGGCUGAAAUCUUUGAAAGAAAGAGAGUUGAGUGUGAAGUCUAGAACAAUAAAAAGUACUUUCGAUCUGUUCUUACUAAUAGCAUUGGCCGACUUCGGUUCACUUUUGAUCAGCUAUCAGUAAAGCAUGCUACGCAAAUCAAAGGACUAAGUAUUUAUCUAAACUAUGUUUUUAAAAGUCAAGUUAUAAAGAGGGUGCAUAUUUAAAUAUACUUUGUUUAAGG